CGCCUUGGACCGUCCGUGCCGGAGCCUCGGCGACCGUAGCGGUGACGACGGAGGUGACGGCGUCGAAUGCCCGCUGCUCGGUAGCCGGUUGUACGGGUGCAUUUCAGAUCAACCUCUCUACAUCAUCAAAACGCACACAGACGCUCUCAAAACGACACCGUUUUUAGGUAUUGGAAGGAGAAAACGACGAAAUAGAGGAAUAGAUAGCUGGAGAAUGCAAUGCAGAGAGCAAUUAUGGAAUUAGAUGAUUAGAUGAAUGAAAACAAAAGAAAGCAUCUUGCUUCUUUAGUUGUUUUAUUCUGGGAUGGCUCCAAUACAAGAAGAUGGGAAAAUAGAUUAAAACAUGAGGUUUGCGGUGAUGUUGCGAAGAUAAUAUGAAAAUGUUUGGACACCGAGAUUUGAAGAAAAAAUAAUUGUUUCUCUGUACUCAUAUUUAAUUUUUCUUAUAUGAUCUCGUCAUCUUGUGAUGUUGAUUUCAA